rnacentral:rRNA from 1 species
CCUACGGGGGGCAGCAGUCGAGAAUUUUUCACAAUGGGCGAAAGCCUGAUGGAGCGACGCCGCGUGGGGGAUGAAUGGCUUCGGCCCGUAAACCCCUGUCAUUCGCGAACAAUGCUCGCGGUUUAAUACAUCGUGAGUUGAUAGUAGCGGAAGAGGAAGGGACGGCUAACUCUGUGCCAGCAGCCGCGGUAAUACAGAGGUCCCAAGCGUUGUUCGGAUUUACUGGGCGUAAAGGGUGCGUAGGCGGUCGGGUAAGUCUGAUGUGAAAUCUCCGAGCUCAACUCGGAAAUGGCAUUGGAUACUAUUCGGCUGGAGAGUUGGAGGGGGGACUGGAAUACUUGGUGUAGCAGUGAAAUGCGUAGAUAUCAAGUGGAACACCAGUGGCGAAGGCGAGUCCCUGGACAACAUCUGACGCUGAGGCACGAAAGCUAGGGGAGCAA